UCCUGAAGCAGUCCUGGAUAGAGCAGCUUGUCACGUGUCAGAUGCGCCUUCAAUGCUCCAGCCAGGGCGCGGGCCUCAAACAUGGGCUUCUUCAUUCCACUUCAGGUACUUCGUGUUCCAUAGGAGA